rnacentral:lncRNA from 1 species
GUAGUCUCUUAACGGCUCCCGGCUCUCUGGUCGCCUGGCUGCAGGACUACAAUUCCAGCAGGCACCGGGCUCAGUGGGAGGGGCAGGGUGGUGUGGACCUGGCAAAGCAGUGCUGCCCGCUCACCCCCUGCUGCCCUGUCUCCAUGGGGAGUGAGUUUGGAGAGAGAUAUAAGGGAUAAAUCUGGGCUUUUGCCCAAAUCUGGCAGGUCCUACCUCCGGCUGAGCAGCUCUUCCUCUCUUUAUCCUUAUCCGCUGGUUUUUCCAUGGCAUCGCGCCUCCUUCAGCCCAUGGAGCCGCCUGCUUUCCUAAACUACUACAGAAACUGGCCUGAUGGCUGUCUGAGACAUUGUACAUUGUGCCACCGGCCUCUGCUUACUCCAGGCAGAGCGCCAGUUCAGCAGCAUUUGGGAGAAAUUUGCUGCCUGGGCCGCCCGUAAACAACUUGAGCUUUGCAGUGGGUAACAUGGGCUGUGGUUUGGUGAAAAUGUCAACCUCACUGACCCCUUUUUCGUGGAAGUAGAAGUCGAGACAUGAGGGAGAGUAAUUAUUGGCUUACCCGGGAUCUGCUAAAAGCAGAGGAGAAAGCCCCAGUGUUUCCAGGCAUGUGUCUGGGUGGGCCAUUUUUACCAACCCAUUUAAGGGGCUAGGCCUCCAAAAAUCAACCUAAAGGUAAUGAUUGUUUUGAUAUUUUACACAUGUGAUCAUGGCUUCAUCUCACCUUAGACCUGACUGGCCAGUGUCUCAAAGACAUAGAUGGUGACCAGCUCUCUCUGGAACAGAUGGCACUCCAGCUUUGUGGGAGCAACUUUCAAGGACCUGUCUACAAGCAACAUUGUAACAUAUUUCUGAGCCCAUCACAUGGAUAAUGUGACCCUUCUCUUUUUGUCCUGCCCCAAGUGAAGAUUGUGACAUGUCACCAGGCCCUUUGUCUAGGCAAUAUGACUCUUCUCUCCUGUCUGGGCCCUGAUUACAAGGGGGAUUGUGACAAUCACUGGGCCCAUCAUGUAGAUAAUAAGAGUUUCUCUUCCUGCCUGGGCCUUUUCUACAGAAAAGAUUAAGACAUCACUGGGCCAAGCACCCACAUGAUGUCACUCGCCUGCCUGCAUUCUGCCUACAGUGGGUAUUGUGACAUAUCCCUGGCACAGAACCAAGGUAACGUGACUCACCUACCUGGUUCCUGCCCACUGAUGGGAUUGUGACAUAUACCUAGGUCCAGCUCACAGGCAUGAUGAUAACUGUCAUACGUGGACCCAGCCAAUAAGAGAUUUUUGCUCUUAGGCUUAUUACAACAGGUAUGCUUCUGGGUAUUCUACAUAUAGAGAGGUCACGGACUAUUAGGACGCUCAUGCAUAUUUUAUAAAGACCUUGGGUGGUACACAGAUGUUGUCACAGGCCAGUGCACAUGUGAAAUUGUGACUCCCCUAGGCAUACCCAGCCAAUCAUUAAGAUUUUCACCCUCAAUGCAUGCAUACAGCCCACUCUUGAGGUUCUCAAUCUCACACCUGGUAGCAGUCAAAAUUUGGAAUUGUGACUCUCAUAUGGGGAUUUGAUUGACAGGUAAAAUUAUAACUCUUUUUUUUUUUUUUUUUUUUUUUUUUUUUGAGACAGAGUCUCGCUCUGUCACUCAGGCUGGAGUGCAGUGGCAUGAUCUCAGCCCGCUGCAACCUUCGCCUUCCAGGUUCAAGCAGUUCUCCUGCCUCAGCUCUUGGACAAAACUUCAGCACUCCUGCUAGGGUGUGUCUGCCCUACUAAGACACUGUGCGCAGGUGGAGUUGAGGCUCUUAUGUAUGGAUCCUGUCCACUGUUGAGAUUGUGAAUUGCAUGUGUAGACUCAACUCACAGGAGGUGUUGACUCACAAACCUCCAGCUGGGACAUGUGCAGGAUUAGAAAUUUUAUUUCUGGAUCUUUCUUCAGAAGGCGUUGUAACAUCUCACUAAGCCCAGCACUCAGGCGAUGUGGCUUUCCUGCUAUGGCACUGCACACAAGAAGAAUGUUGACAUAUUCCUGGCCCAGAAUUCAGGUGGUUUGGUGACUCUCAAACCAUGAUUCAGCAGACCUGUGAGGCUGUGAGUUCCCUAUCAGAACACAAUCUGCAGGAAGCAUUGGAACAUAUCACUUAGCCCAGCACCUAGGUGGAUGGGAUUCCCUUUCUUGCCUGGUCCCUGCCCACUGGAGAGAUUGUGACCCAUUGCUGAGCCCAGCACCAAGGUGAUGUCACUCUCCUGCCUUGGCCAUGCCCAUGAGGGCCACUGUGACACCUGUCUAGGCUAAUUACUUAGGUGAAGUUGUAUUGUGCCAUAUACCUGGGACCAAAUUACAAGCACAAUGAUGAAUCUUUUACCUGGAGUCAAGACAUGGGCAGGAUGAUGGAACUUAUCACUGGACCUUUCCACAGUGUUAUUGUGACAUAUGCCUUUGCCCAACAUGUGGUGAUUUGACUCCCCAGACUGGGUCCAGUUCACAAAUAAAAUUGUGCCGUAUACUUGGCCAAGAACCUAAUAGGUGUAAUUGAUGUGCCUGGG